rnacentral:rRNA from 1 species
CCCUUAGACGUUCUGGGCCGCACGCGUGCUACACUGAGUAAUUCAAUGGGUAAGGGAACGCUAGAGCAUUACCUAAUCUUGAAAUUUGCUCGUGAUGGGGAUCGACGGUUGCAAUUUUCCGUCGUGAACGAGGAAUACCUUGUAGGCGCAUGUCAUCAUCAUGCGCCGAAUACGUCCCUGCCCUUUGUACACACCGCCCGUCGCUCCUACCGAUUGAGUGAUCCGGUGAGGCUCUGGGACCUGGACGGAAAGAGCGUUUCGCUUGUUCUGUUUGGGAAACUUGGUCGAACCUUAUCAUUUAGAGGAAGGGGAAGUCGUAACA